AGAAGAUUUUAAUCUUUAAUACACCAAUGUAUAGUGAGUGUGGUAAACCCACUCAUAUUUCUGCUGUCAGCACUUUGAAGGCAGCAAGCGUGCCUUGAGCCGGCUCCUCUAGUCAGUCAGCUUGUCGGGGUGUAACGCGAUAUAACGUACAGACACGCUGUCCCGUAUACGCCACACUCUUCUCCAGAUCUCUGUAUUUAAUCUUAAAUAUAUUCAUAGAUAAAUACAAGUUCACCUGAUAAACCAAAGAAACUCAACCAAGUGACUUUACCUACAACAGAAAGGUGCGGCAUGAACACAGGGAAGCAAUGUGCUCGAGUACAUCUUGUGUAGCCCCAGCUGUGUUGGGGUUCCCAUGGCCCAGUGGAUCCUGAACAUAAGACGGGGAAAUAGACCAACUUUGCAAUUAUUGUGUUGGGUCCUCGUGGCUCAGUGGGUAGAGUGAUGACAUUUGGAAUUGGCGUGAGGGAAGCGUGGGUUCGAAACCCGCUCGGAACUUGCAAAAAAAAUCUGAAUGAUCAUCAUGAUGAAACUGCCCAGAGGAGAGCUAAUCUGCCCUCCCCCACCCCUACCCCCUCCACCCCAGGCUGGGAACUACAACGACUGCCUUAUUACUGACUCACUCAAGUAUUUAAGUUAACAAUAGGCUAGAUAGGUUAGGUUAGGUUACGAUAGGUAAUAAGAGAGAGACAGUAUCUGGCAGUCUACGUAGUGACCAGAAGAAGGUGGAGGAGGGAGAAGAAAAAGAA